UUGAGAACUUUACAGGUCGUCAGUUUGAUCCGCGCGUAUUCAAAAAGUGAUAGACGGAAGGUGGUCUUUAGGUUGCGGUUGACACUACGCGUUUCUGGAUUGUUGGUCUUGGUGCAGCUUGAGCGUCUUUAUAAAUAUUGGUUCCAGAGAAAAAGACUUACGGGUUCUCGUGACUUCGAUGGUAACUAUUUUUGGUCCCUCUCAAUAAGGAGGUUCAGCUGGUCUGCGUAUAAGGGUCUUCUUUCUCAACGUGAAGGAUCUGUAAAGUUUCGGUUAGUUUUCUAGUGAGAAGAACCGGCUCGUCUUCCUUGCUUUUGAAAAUGUCUAUCGGGUCCAGUACAAUGUUUGGCAAAAAGCUGAAAUGCUAUGCUUUUGUCAAAGAUGAUCCAGCUAGUCUUGCUUGCUAUGAAAUGAUAGUAUAGGCUCCAGUAAGAUGUUUAGCAGAAGCAAAGCUCAAAUAUAAAAUUUCAAUAGUUUGUUCAUGGCAGUUCAUUUGUUAAUACAAACUUCAAAUUAACAGUAAACCUCAAACAAAAUAACUAUCUAUAUUCAGUAUCUAUUCACCAUUUGCAUUAUAACUCUCUAACUGAAGAGUUAUGAAAGAUAUUCUUUGUACAUUAUGAAGUAUGAAUAUAAUACAGG